ACCUGGAUGGCUCAGUGGGUAGGGUAUGCAACUCUAGAUUUCGAGAUCAUGAGUUCAAGCCCCAUGUUGGGUA
rnacentral:tRNA from 1 species